rnacentral:rRNA from 1 species
AACGAACGCUGGUGGCGUGCUUAACACAUGCAAGUCGAACGAGAAAAUUUCCUUCGGGGAACUAGUAAAGUGGCGCAAGGGUGAGUAACACGUGAAUAAUCUGCCCUCGAGAUCGGGAUAACAUGGUGAAAACUAUGCUAAUACCGGAUAAGACCACAUUUCAAAAAGAAAUGCGGGAAAAGGAGUCUCAACCUUCACUCGAGGAUGAGUUCGCGCAACAUUAGCUUGUUGGUGAGAUAAAAGCUCACCAAGGCUACGAUGUUUAGCCGGCCUGAGAGGGUGAUCGGCCACACUGGAACUGAGACACGGUCCAGACUCCUACGGGAGGCAGCAGUGGGGAAUAUUGCGCAAUGGGCGAAAGCCUGACGCAGCAACGCCGUGUGAGCGAUG